rnacentral:lncRNA from 1 species
AUCAAUCUUCUCAUGUUAACAGAAUUGUAUUUUUAAAUAAAAAGAAAGCAUUUAAUAGAUGUAUUUGCUUUUAUCAACUAUUUUGUACAAACAACGCAUCGAACAUCUGUCGCAUCUUUGUAUGGAGGGCACCUCAAACUGCCACAUUUGGUUCUGAUUCCAUAGAAUAAGGCCCCGUCUUCAUUUCCAGCUUUAUUGUCGAGAGGUUCUGCAUUUUUGUCAAUACAUGCAUACUCCUUACUGCUGUGACGUUUA